AGGCGUGGCCGUCACGCCUUCCUUGUUCAGGCAGGGAAGUUCUCUCAAGCGUCACUCAAGUCUCCUCCAGCCUCCUACCCAAACAUCUAAUAGCUGCGCAACACAAUUUGACUUUUCUCUUGUGCAAUGGCAGCCGAAGUAACACAAUCCAAACAUGACGAACCUUCCUCUACGUGUGCGAUCGUUUAACAACUUUCUCUCUCUUUAUUGUCUGCACCCACUUUGAUCUCGGUGGCUUGUGUGACUUUCCAUGCCGGGAUGGCCACUGCUAGGCUGGACUACGUUGCACCGUGGUGGACAUAUUGGCUACACAAUUUCCCCCACUUCAACUUCUCGUUCAAGCCGGUGGACAGCACUUUUAGACCGGAGCAGGAUGACUACCAGCAGUCUGUGGUGGUUCUAGCUUGCGUAGGAGCAGUGGGCCUUGGUGUGAGUCUGCUGGUUUUGACCAUCUACCUGGCAUAUCUGUGUGGCUGCCGCAGGGUUGUGGACGAGGACACCAAAAGGCCUGAAAGCACCUGCUGUGUGACCUGGGCGGCUGUUGUCAUGGGUCUCAUCAUAUGUUCAGCGGUAGGAGUGGGUUUCUAUGGAAACAGCGAGACCAACGAUGGUGUGUACCAGUUGACCUACUCACUCUACAAUGCCAAUCGCACACUGGCCAGCAUCAACAGUCUGGCCGCAGGCUCUUUAGGCAGUGUGGAAACGGGAGUCAGGAAGCACCUGGAACGUUUGGAUGAGAUUUUCGCCGGGAGGCCCGAUUACCUGCAGGCUCUACGCUUCAUGCAGCUGAUGGUCACCAAUGUCAUUCGAGAGAUGACCGCCCUGCCUGACAUCAGUAAAAGUAACGUGGCGCUGGCGGCCAUGGCUGACUACACAGCCUCCGUUGAGUAUUACAGAUGGUUGACCUAUCUGCUCCUGUUGAUCCUGGAUCUGCUCAUAUGUUUGGCUCUGUGCUUGGGGAUGGCUAAGCAGUCUCGAUGGCUGCUCAUCAUGAUAAUGGUCUUUGUGAUGCUGUCUCUGUUCCUGAGCUGGGCCUCGCUGGGAGCCAGCACUGCUACGGCUGUGGGUACCAGUGACUUCUGCGUGUCUCCUGACAAGUUUAUUGUCAACCAAACCAAAGAUUUCCUCACUGGAGAUGUUGCACAUUAUUAUUUGUUCUGCAGUCCGAAUCUACCCAACCCUUUCCAACAGUCUUUGACAAUCUGCCAGCGCUCUGUAACCACCAUGCAGAUCCAGAUCCAGGGCCUGCUGCAGUUUUCCGUGCCGGUCUUCCCCACGGCUGAGAGAGACCUUUUAGGCAUUCAGCGCCUGUUGAACGCCAGCGAGUUUAAUCUACACCAGUUGACAGCCUUGCUUGAUUGUCGCGGACUGCACAAGGACUACCUGGAUGCCCUAAUGGGUGUGUGCUAUGAUGGUGUAGAAGGUCUCCUCUACCUGGCUUUGUUCUCUCUGCUGGCUGCUUGUGCACUCUCCGCCAUGCUGUGUGCUAUUUUCCGAGUGUGGACACUAAUGGGCAGCAGAGACAAAGAGUAUGAUGACAUCGAUGAAGAGGACCCCUUCAACCCUCAAGCACGACGCAUGUCCUACAACCAGAGAGGGUCCAACGUUCACAGUUUCUGCAGCUACACCAGUAGUGUCGGUAGCCAGGCCAGCCUCCAUCCUCCUCCUCAGUCUGCAUCCAAUGUGCUUCCUCCACCGGAAUACAUGAAUCAGACUAUGCUGUUUGGAGGCAGCCCUCGAUACGAGAACGUUCCGUUGAUAGGCAGAGGAUCCCCUCCUCCCUCGGUGCGUUGGCCCUAUACAGCCCUCGUAUCGCAAGUGUGACCACGACACCACACCUGACCUUACUUGCACAACAAGAACCCCCCCACGGCAGCUGUUGUACACAUUGCACUCAACAGUGGCACAUAAAUGAGCAGCUAGGGUUAAGUCGCAGUGCAAGUGGUGAAACACUGCCCUCUGCAGGCCUUUUGUUCAGUUGCACCCAAGCUAUAAUUCUCCCCAGUGGAUUAAAUUGCCUCUUAAGGCAAUGCAAUUAAUUAGACAGUUGCAUCAAAUCACAAAGGAGCACACAAGCCAGAAUUGUUCCCUGCUAGUAUCAUAUUUUAUUCUGGCAAUCAAUAAGUGUGUCAUGUGUCCCCACAGCUAAAUAAUAGACAACACUGGUAAAUCCUCACUUUUUCUUCUUUUAAGUGCCCUCUCUCUUUAUAAUGAAGCUUCUGUCGAACUGUGGGGGGAGCACGAGCUGCAUUAGUACAUUGACAGACUUUCAAUGACUGGGGAAAAGAGUAGAAAGAGACAAUGCAAUCACUGCUUAAAAAUGUAUAGCAACCCUGUGAGAUACAUUUGAACACGGCCCUUAAAGGCAGCUAAAGGCUCUCUUUUCAUGUUCAGGAAUAAUGGGCCUUAUCAGUGUGGAAUAUCAAUGGGAUGUAUUGUCUGUGUUGGAAAAGGUGUUUGCACAAUUGUAUCCUACCAGGGGAACCUCCUUCUAAAUAUUUUGAAAAUGUACAUUAUCAGAAACAAUUAGAGGACCCCCGGUGGGAUACAUUAUGGUCGUCAUUGUUAUAUAUUGUUCCUCUGCACUGUAUUUUUUUUAGUUGCCUGUUUUUCUAUUGAUGCUGAAUAUGAUCACAUGCAUGAAACUAACCUCUUAUUUUUCCUUACUUUUUGUAACUCAGCCUUUUAAAAAUCGUAAGUUUUUAGUUGUUGUUGUUGUUGUUCCUUUUUGUCAUUCUAUUAUUCUUUGCAUCAUGCAAUGCAAAGUGCUUGAAACUGACCCCUUAGAAGCCCAAACGUGUGCAUGCUAUACCUCAACUGUGUGAACUUUGACCUUCUGGCACAAUGUAGGAGUACACUAGCAUUACUCGCCCGGUAUGAGGACCACCUAUCUGUCUAUGACUGAGGCCCAGAUCAGACACUUUGGCACUGACUUCCAAGUGUAGCAGUAUGGACACAGAGACAGUGUGAAGACAUGUCUUCGUGGUUUGAAUCCUGUUUACUGAGCCUGCACUUUGCUGGCCACAUGAGGCAAUUACCUCAAUAACACAGUAUGUCAGAUGUAUGUAUGAGGUCAAUGAAGAUCUUUUGUCACAUCUUUUCUUUUAGCUCUUUGUCCUAUAAUCUUAUAGUCUGCAUGGUUAAUGUGUAGCUCUAAUGUGAGCAAUAAUCAGUCCCACAGUGUGUCAUUCUUUUUGGCCAUGUUCUAUAAUCCCCUAGGACUGACAGGGCCACUUCAUCAGGCACACAACUACAAUCUAAUGUGGUUGAGGUCAAGUGCAGAAAACAAUUUCUAAAUCUCUGUCAAUAUCCAACAUCUUUCAAUAGAUACUAUAUUUGUAAUAAGGAUUGGCAAAAUAUUAAUUUUGGACAACUGUCUGCCAGUUGUGUUGAAUUAAUCGCCAUUUGAGGCAAUUGAGACAAAAUGGAGUGCGCUACCUAGUUGCAACCAGCAGAGGCACUGUGGAUUAGGUUCCACGCCAUAAAACGUGGAAAGGUUAGGAGAAUUCCAAAAAAUAUGUACAAAAUGAGUUUGCUAUCUGGGUUGAGAUUUUUUUUCAAAUAUAGUCAUAAACAAUGUCUUUGUUUUUACUUGUUUUUGGCAGUAAAAGUUAACUCCUGUUUGAGCCUUCAGUCACUUCAGAAUCAGAAUCAGAAAAGGUUCUGAUUCGGUCAUUAGUGAAUGAUCGUUGUGCUUUACAUUAAAUAAUAAUAAAGGAAAGAUUUGACCAACUUUGCUGUAAAACCCUCCAUCCAUCCAUCCAUCCAUUUUCUAUGUCGCUUAUCCUCACUGGGGUAGCGGGUAUGCUGGAGCCUAUCCCAGCUGUCUUUGGGCAAGAGGCGGGGUACAUCCAGGACUGGUCGCCAGCCACUCACAUUCAUACCUAUGGACAAUUGUCUAUAGUCACCAACAUGCAUGUUUUGGGGAUGUGGGAGGAAACCGGAGUACCCGGAGAAAACCCAUGCAUAUAUGAGAUGUACAUAGUGCCCAACGAAACCCAUCCCGAUCUGACUGUGUGGCCUACAUGCUAACCACUCGCCCACCGUCUUGCUCUAAAACCGUUAUGGUGUAAAAGUCUCAUUAGAUUGUGGAAAUUGUAGCAGGUUGGUGUAUAAAUGGUGCUAAACACAACUAUUACUCAGCACACUACACACAAGUAGAAAACCACACAAAAAUAAAUAAAUGAUGUGAACCACCAAAGAUAACAUCAUCAAUGUUGACAAAUGUGCUUAUGUUUGUGUUUAAGGUUUAAGCAUCCUUGUGUGUUGCCUCUUCAUUCAUUUGGUUUGGUUGGCAUUUGCAGUAUUUCGCUGGACUGAAUAAGCUGCAGGAUGUCGAUAAGCGGCAUCAAUACUAGUUGUGUGUCAUCAUUGUAUUUCAUCAUCAAACUGUUUGACACAAUCACACAAAAAUAUGCAAAAACAUGUUUUCUCUGUCCUUGUUGAAUGCCUUUUUAUUGAAUUAUGUAUUAAAAUAAACUUUUGUGUGGACAACUUUUGUACUUUGGGGGUUUUAAACAUGUUCCUGUUAUUUUUUUUGGCAGAUGGUAGAAUUCAUAGUUCC